AACGAACGCUGGCGGCAUGCCUAACACAUGCAAGUCGAACGAGAUCUUCGGGUCUAGUGGCGCACGGGUGCGUAACGCGUGGGAAUCUGCCCUUUGGUUCGGAAUAACAGUUGGAAACAACUGCUAAUACCGGAUGAUGACGAAAGUCCAAAGAUUUAUCGCCAGAGGAUGAGCCCGCGUAGGAUUAGCUAGUUAGUGUGGUAAAGGCGCACCAAGGCGACGAUCCUUAGCUGGUCUGAGAGGAUGAUCAGCCACACUGGGACUGAGACACGGCCCAGACUCCUACGGGAGGCAGCAGUGGGGAAUAUUGGACAAUGGGCGAAAGCCUGAUCCAGCAAUGCCGCGUGAGUGAUGAAGGCCUUAGGGUUGUAAAGCUCUUUUACCCGGGAUGAUAAUGACAGUACCGGGAGACUAAGCUCCGGCUAACUCCGUGCCAGCAGCCGCCGUAA
rnacentral:rRNA from 1 species